ensembl:lncRNA LINC00309 long intergenic non-protein coding RNA 309
AGUGAGAAAAUCCCCAGAUGAAGAGCAGCAACAAGUCUCCGGGCAACAGUGUGGUCAAAAGGGGGAAAUUCCCCCAUCAGCGCUCAAAAACAGUCCCUCAGGAAAGCUUAGUGAAGGCACAGAUGAAACAGAUUCCAACAUGGGGCUGAGAGUAAUAAAUAAACUAAUAAAAAAAGGAAAGCAUGGAGCAACUUUGAUAGAAGAAUUUUGGCCCCUAGGGAGAAAUGCAGAAGGAGUAGCAAAUGAGCACACUGACUGGAAAGAAUGCUAUUUGUCUUUCACUAUGUGGAGUUCAGAAGAGCACUGGCCAUUGGCGAAGUCCCAGAAGUGAAGACCCUAGCAAUAUAAAUAUUGCUCGUUUCCACUAGGGAGGAAAACAACUCUGCUGUCAAAUUUGCUGAGCACAAAGUGAAAGGAAGUCUGCAAUCUGUUGGCUAAUUAAGACCCAUGGACUCAUUUCACGCUGUGCUUAGAGAUGCAUGCAAAAGCAUUAUCUUCUGCUGCAAGCAGCAGCCCCUAGGAUGUACAUGUGCUCUCUGCUGAUGGCUAAAUUUGGGGAAACUGAGACACUCUAACACAGCAGGAGCAACUUAAUUUCUCAACUGCUUACAUUAAAGAUGAGACCAAGGAUGAACAUACUUGGACUUUUUCAACCUGAUGUUUCAUCUAUCAUGCUGCCCCUCCUCCCAAGACUUUCUCUUCCUGAGGACCUCUUGGUGAGAAGUUGCCCACCCCAUACCCAAGCCAAAGUGGAAUGGCAGAGCCCUGCCAGAAAACCAAGCAACAUUUCUACUAAAGGCAGGUGGCUACUGCUCCUUCCUCUUUCUCCUUAUCUGAGAUGAUUAGAAGUCCAGGUACAGAGGAACUGACCCAUGUGUCCUACCUUGAGGACCCUGCAGUAUUAAUUAGUUAUCAUUGUCUGCAGAAUGAAAAA